GAUGAACGCUGGCGGCGUGCAUAACACAUUCAAGUCGAACGGUGACGGGACUUCGGUCCCUGAUCAGUGGCGGACGGGUGAGUAACGCGUGAGUAACCUGCCUUGCAUUGGGGGAUAACAGCCGGAAACAGCUGCUAAUACCGCAUAAUGUAUCGGGUUUGCAUGGACUUGAUACCAAAGAUUUAUCGAUGUAAGAUGGACUCGCGUCCGAUUAGGUAGUUGGCGGGGCAACGGCCCACCAAGCCGACGAUCGGUAGCCGAACUGAGAGGUUGAACGGCCACAUUGGAACUGAGAUACGGUCCAGACUCCUACGGGAGGCAGCAGUGGGGAAUAUUGGGCAAUGGGGGAAACCCUGACCCAGCAACGCCGCGUGAA
rnacentral:rRNA from 1 species